rnacentral:tRNA from 1 species
UCCGCUGUGGCCGAGUGGUUAAGGCGUCAGACUUGAACUUCUUCUAGAACGAUAUCUGAUUCUUUCGAGAGCACAGGUUCGAACCCUGUCGGCGGAG